AUAUUAUAUUGUAAUAUUAUAUUGUGAGAUAGAGAUAUAUUUACAUAUUUAUGUCAGAGAUAAACUUAUAUUUUGCCGUUAUUAUAAACUUGUAUUUUAUGGAAAGGGCAAAAAAAAAAAAAAAAAUUGAAUUUUAUCUUAGGCAGACCUAUCUGUUCUCCUCCUCUCUAUCUCCCCCAGUUUCCCAUUGUUGCGCACUCAACGUUCUCCAUCGAAGCACAUUCCACGUUCUCCAUUGAGCCGCAUUCUGAUAUUUCUAUUUUUACCCCUCAUUAAAGCAGCUUCUAAGAUUUUAGGCAGAGAGAUGAGCGGAAUGGCGUUUUCGAGCACCAUUGCCCACUGUCUGCUGCCUCAAUCCGCUAUGUCUUUAUCUUAUAGUAGGAACAACCGCAUCACUAUUCCAAUUUCAUCUUUUUCAUUUCGAAGACGACGUGGAAAUUCACAGAAUAAUGCUACCAACAACAUUAUCUGUUGUUCCACAGUCUCGACCUCGAAUUCAGCAGCCAAUUACCAGAACACAAACACGGGUACUUUUGGAAUCGAUGGUGCAGAAGUACUAGAUUGUGUGAUUGUAGGUGGUGGAAUCAGUGGUCUUGGCAUUGCACAAGCUCUCUCUACAAAAUACUCCUCCCGCUCCCCAAAUUUCAUUGUCACGGAGGCUAAAGAUCGAGUUGGCGGGAACAUCACUACUGUGGAGGCCGAUGGCUAUAUCUGGGAAGAAGGACCUAACAGCUUCCAGCCAUCUGAUGCAGUGCUCACCAUGGCUGUUGACAGUGGAUUGAAAGAUGAAUUGGUGUUUGGAGAUCCUAACGCCCCUCGUUUUGUGUUGUGGAAUGGAAAAUUGAGGCCUGUACCGUCCAAGCCCACUGACCUCCCUUUCUUUGACCUUAUGAGCUUCCCCGGCAAGAUUAGGGCUGGACUCGGUGCUCUUGGCUUACGUCCUUCUCCUCCAGCUCACGAGGAAUCUGUUGAAGAUUUUGUCCGUCGUAAUCUGGGUGAUGAAGUAUUUGAACGCUUGAUUGAACCCUUUUGUUCAGGCGUGUAUGCUGGCGAUCCUUCCAAGUUGAGUAUGAAAGCUGCUUUUGGCAAAGUUUGGAUCUUGGAGCAAAAGGGUGGUAAUAUCAUUGGUGGCACCCUCAAAACAAUCCAGGAAAGAAAGAACUAUCCAAAGCCACCUCGAGACCCGCGCCUCCCUAAACCAAAGGGCCAGACAGUUGGAUCCUUCAGGAAAGGACUCACUAUGUUGCCAACAGCCAUUUCUGAAAGGCUUGGCAGCAAAGUGAAACUAUCAUGGACCCUUUCUAGUAUUGUUAAGUCACCAAAUGGAGAAUAUAAUCUGACUUAUGAAACACCAGAUGGACUGGUUUCUGUACGGACCAAAAGUGUUGUGAUGACUGUCCCAUCACAUAUUGCAAGUAGCCUCCUUCGUCCACUUUCAGAUGUUGCUGCAGAAUCACUUGCAAAGUUCUACUAUCCACCAGUUGCAGCUGUGUCACUUUCUUAUCCUAAUGAAGCAAUUAGAUCAGAGUGUUUGAUUGAUGGUAAACUUCAAGGAUUUGGGCAAUUGCAUCCCCGCAGUCAGGGUGUUGAAACCUUGGGAUCAAUUUAUAGUUCAUCGCUUUUCCCUGGUCGAGCACCACCUGGUAGGACCUUAAUUUUGAGUUACAUUGGAGGUUCUACAAACCCUAGUAUAUUACACAAGACGCAAGAUGAACUUGCUGGGGCAGUUGACAAGGACUUGAGAAAAAUUCUCAUAAAUCCUAAUGCAAAAGAUCCCCGGGUUUUGGGCGUGAGAGUAUGGCCCCAAGCAAUUCCACAAUUUUUGAUUGGCCACUUUGAUCUGCUUGAUGCUGCAAAAGCAGCUCUAACUGAUGCUGGGUUCAAGGGAUUGUUUCUUGGUGGCAACUACGUUUCAGGUGUUGCAUUGGGGCGAUGUAUAGAGGGUGCUUAUGAAUCUGCAGCUGAGGUAGUGGAUUACCUCUCACAAUACUCAAACAAAUAGGGCUGUUGCUAGGAUUAGUUGUCCGAGUAUUUUGCUAACAAGACCACAAAGAUUGCAGUGAAAAUUUUCUUAUCAAGGGUUUAGAAUACAUUAUUUCAAGCACAAUGAACUCAUGGUUGGUAGCCAAACCCCAUGAGAUUUGUAAAUUUGCCACACAUUAGCACGCAUUGGGAGCACCCUGCCUUUUUCCCGGGUUCUCGCCUAAAUAGGUACACCAAGCUAUUGGUGUGCUCGGGAACAUUGAAGAAUUUGUUUUCUCUACUUUUCUCCUUAAUAAAUGUAUGAUACUAGUGCUAAAAUCAUACUUCAUCUGUUAUAGAUUGAAACCCAUUCCCCCCGCUCCCCCCCCCCCCAAAAAAAAAAAAAAAAAAAAAAACCUGUAUUAUUAUUAUUAUCAUUUUUCGGAUCAAUCACGUGUUGCCACGUGUCCAAGUAACCUAGUUUAAUAGGUUAUUGAUAAGUUGUUAACUAGAUGUGCCUAAAAAAAGAAAAUGCACCCUAAAGUUAUUCCAUAA